AACCUCCGCAAUGUGAGAAAUCGCGACGGGGGGAUCCCAAGUGCCAUUCUUAACGGGAUGGCUUUUCAUUAGUGUAAAGAGCUUUUGGAAUAAGGGCUGGGCAAGACCGGUGCCAGCCGCCGCGGUAACACCGGCAGCUCUAGUGGUAGCAGUUUUUAUUGGGCCUAAAGCGUCCGUAGCCGGUUUAAUAAGUCUCUGGUGAAAUCCUGUAGCUUAACUGUGGGAAUUGCUGGAGAUACUAUUAGACUUGAGACCGGGAGAGGUUAGAGGUACUCCCAGGGUAGAGGUGAAAUUCUGUAAUCCUGGGAGGACCGCCUGUUGCGAAGGCGUCUAACUGGAACGGUUCUGACGGUGAGGGACGAAAGUUAGGGGCGCGAACCGGAUUAGAUACCCGGGUAGUCCUAACUGUAAACGAUGCGGACUUGGUGUUGGGGUGGCUUUGAGCUGCUUCAGUGCCGAAGGGAAGCUGUUAAGUCCGCCGCCUGGGAAGUACGGUCGCAAGACUGAAACUUAAGGAAUU
rnacentral:rRNA from 1 species